ACACUAUGAGCAUCUCUGUUCUAAUAUUUGGUCUUUGACCAUAGUUUCUGACACCUUGGUAAUUUCCAGGGUGAUAGGAAUGGCUUUUGUUUGAAUGAAGCAACUGUGGGUGGGCUCUUGGAUGGCUCCUGGAGGAGGAGCUUACCAGAAAGCCCAAGCCAUGAUUAGAAACUUGGAAUUUCCAGGCCUGCCCCAUGCUCUCUUGAGAAGGGCGCAGGGUUGGAAACGAAGUUAAUGAUCAAUCAAGCCUAUGUUAUGAAGCCUCCAUAAACAUCCCAAUAGUACAGGAUUCAGAGAGCGUCCAGGUUGACAAGCAUGUCCACACUGGGGGAGUGACGUACCCUAACUUCAUGGGGACAAAAGCUCCUGAGCUUUGGACCCUCCCGGACCUUGCUCAUGUCUAUUUUUUCAUCUGGCUGUUCAUCUGUAUCCUCCACCAUAUCCUUCAAUAAACUGGUAAAGCAAGUGACGUUAGACAUUCAAGUAUCUUCAGGAUGAAAUUUCCUGAGAAAUGAAUCUGGAUUCCAGAAGACCCAUGGACAGUGCUCCAAUGUCAGGUGUGGCAGCAUCCAGCGACGUUCCUAUCACUGCCAAGACCAGCAAACAUUUUGAUGGGCAGUAUAUGACAUAUGUGUGUCUACCACUGCUUACGCCUUUAAAACAG